rnacentral:rRNA from 1 species
GAACGCUGGCGGCGUGCUUAACACAUGCAAGUCGAACGAAGAAAGCACUUUCGGUGCGAGUACAGUGGCGAACGGGUGAGUAACACGUGGGCAACCUGCCCUGGAGAGCGGGACAACCCGAGGAAACUCGGGCUAAUACCGCAUGAUGCGUCCUGGCGUAAGUCAGGCCGCCAAAUGGUAGCUCUUCGGAGCCUCCGCUCUGGGAUGGGCCCGCGCCGGAUUAGCUAGUUGGUUGGGGUAAUGGCCCACCAAGGCGACGAUCCGUAGCUGGUCUGAGAGGACGAUCAGCCACACUGGGACUGAGACACGGCCCAGACUCCUACGGGAGGCAGCAGUGGGGAAUCUUGCGCAAUGGGCGAAAGCCUGACGCAGCAACGCCGCGUGAGGGAAGAAGGCCUUCGGGUUGUAAACCUCUUUCAGGAGGGACGAAGCUUCCGGGGUUAAUAGCCUACGGGGUGACGGUACCUCCAGAAGAAGCCCCGGCUAACUACGUGCCAGCAGCCGCGGUAAUACGUAGGGGGCAAGCGUUGUCCGGAAUCAUUGGGCGUAAAGCGCGUGUAGGCGGCUUGGUAAGUCUGGCGUGAAAUCUUGGGGCUCAACCCCAAGCCUGCGCUGGAUACUGCCUCGCUCGAGUCCGGGAGAGGAAAGCGGAAUUCCCAGUGUAGCGGUGAAAUGCGCAGAUAUUGGGAAGAACACCGAUGGCGAAGGCAGCUUUCUGGAACGGUAC